GAAUCUAAAAAGCAGUUCUUAGGCAGGAAGGGGCUGGAUGGCAAGGGACAAGAACCAGCCAUGCUCCUGUCCCAGUGGAUGAAGGCAGCGAUGCCCUGGGUGCCAGGCCCAGGCACUGGAAUGUUGCUUUAUCCAUCAGACUCUGCUGUUGGGAGUGUGAGUUGGGAAGCCGUGCAUCAUGGGGAUCAUCAAAAUCCUCUCUCAGCAGGCUUCAGCCUCAGGGGAGGACCAUCCCUCAUCAGCCGAAAAAGCACAGACUUACUCAUCUUUACAAGGUCAAAGAUGUCUCUUUCUGCUCUGUACAGAAGAUGAAGAACCAUUUCCCUCUGAUUUAAUCUGUUCUGAUAAAAUCAAAAUGGCCUAGAUGAAA